UACAGAGGGGGCAAGCGUUAUUCGGAAUUAUUGGGCGUAAAGGGCGCGUAGGCGGCCUGGCAAGUGACGGGUGAAAUCCCUCGGCUUAACCGAGGAACUGCCUGUCAGACUGCUUGGCUUGAGACCGGGAGAGGUGAGUGGAAUUCCCAGUGUAGCGGUGAAAUGCGUAGAUAUUGGGAGGAACACCAGUGGCGAAGGCGGCUCACUGGACCGGAACUGACGCUGAGGCGCGAAAGCGUGGGGAGCGAACAGG
rnacentral:rRNA from 1 species